UUCUCGCCGAGAUCGGCCGCGAGAUAGCGCACGCUCGCCUCGAGCGCAGCCUUGGCGACGCCCAUCACGUUGUAAUGCGGCAUCCACUUCUCGGCGCCGUAAUAGGACAGCGUCAGGAUCGAACCGCCGUCGGUCAUCAGGUGUUCGGCGCGCUGGGUAAUCGCGGUCAGCGAGUAGCACGAGAUCAGCAUGGAGUUGGU
rnacentral:misc_RNA from 1 species